UGGGGAAUAUUGGACAAUGGGCGAAAGCCUGAUCCAGCCAUGCCGCGUGUGUGAAGAAGGUCUUCGGAUUGUAAAGCACUUUAAGCGAGGAGGAGGGUACUGGUAUUAAUACUACCAGCUACUGGACGUUACUCGCAGAAUAAGCACCGGCUAACUCUGUGCCAGCAGCCGCGGUAAUACAGAGGGUGCGAGCGUUAAUCGGAAUUACUGGGCGUAAAGCGCGCGUAGGUGGUUCGUUAAGUUGAAUGUGAAAGCCCCGGGCUCAACCUGGGAACUGCAUCCAAAACUGGCGAGCUAGAGUAGGGCAGAGGGUGGUGGAAUUUCCUGUGUAGCGGAGAAAUGCGUAGAUAUAGGAAGGAACACCAGUGGCGAAGGCGACCACCUGGGCUCAUACUGACACUGAGGUGCGAAAGCGUGGGGAGCAAACAGG
rnacentral:rRNA from 1 species